GGGUGCGAGCGUUGUCCGGAGUUACUGGGCGUAAAGAGCUCGUAGGCGGUUUGUCGCGUCGGCCGUGAAAUCCUGCUGCUUAACGGUGGGCUUGCGGUCGAUACGGGCAGACUAGAGUUCGGUAGGGGAGACUGGAAUUCCUGGUGUAGCGGUGAAAUGCGCAGAUAUCAGGAGGAACACCGGUGGCGAAGGCGGGUCUCUGGGCCGAUACUGACGCUGAGGAGCGAAAGCGUGGGGAGCGAACAGGAUUAGAUACCCUGGUAGUCCACGCUGUAAACGUUGGGCGCUAGGUGUGGGGACUGUUUCCACGGUUUCCGUGCCGUAGCUAACGCAUUAAGCGCCCCGCCUGGGGAGUACGGCCGCAAGGCUAAAACUCAAAUGAAUUGACGGGG
rnacentral:rRNA from 1 species